rnacentral:rRNA from 1 species
UUUGGUCCCCGGGCCUAACACAUGCAAGUCGAGCGGGGGAAGGUAGCUUGCUACCGGACCUAGCGGCGGACGGGUGAGUAAUGCUUAGGAAUCUGCCUAUUAGUGGGGGACAACAUCUCGAAAGGGAUGCUAAUACCGCAUACGUCCUACGGGAGAAAGCAGGGGAUCUUCGGACCUUGCGCUAAUAGAUGAGCCUAAGUCGGAUUAGCUAGUUGGUGGGGUAAAGGCCUACCAAGGCGACGAUCUGUAGCGGGUCUGAGAGGAUGAUCCGCCACACUGGGACUGAGACACGGCCCAGACUCCUACGGGAGGCAGCAGUGGGGAAUAUUGGACAAUGGGGGGAACCCUGAUCCAGCCAUGCCGCGUGUGUGAAGAAGGCCUUAUGGUUGUAAAGCACUUUAAGCGAGGAGGAGGCUACUUUAGUUAAUACCUAGAGAUAGUGGACGUUACUCGCAGAAUAAGCACCGGCUAACUCUGUGCCAGCAGCCGCGGUAAUACAGAGGGUGCGAGCGUUAAUCGGAUUUACUGGGCGUAAAGCGUGCGUAGGCGGCUUAUUAAGUCGGAUGUGAAAUCCCCGAGCUUAACUUGGGAAUUGCAUUCGAUACUGGUGAGCUAGAGUAUGGGAGAGGAUGGUAGAAUUCCAGGUGUAGCGGUGAAAUGCGUAGAGAUCUGGAGGAAUACCGAUGGCGAAGGCAGCCAUCUGGCCUAAUACUGACGCUGAGGUACGAAAGCAUGGGGAGCMAACAGGAUUAGAUACCCUSAA